rnacentral:pre_miRNA from 1 species
GCGCUCUGACCUGAGACCUCAGGGUUCUGAGCUAUGAUGUUGCUUCUAAGCUGGGAUCUCGGGUCUUGGUUCAGGGUCG